rnacentral:rRNA from 1 species
AGAGUUUGAUCCUGGCUCAGAGUGAACGCUGGCGGUGCGCCUAAAACAUGCAAGUCGAGUGGGUUUAGACCCACGGCAAACGGCUGCGUAACACAUGGGUACCUGCCCCGAACUCAGGGAUAUCCCGCCGAAAGGCGGUGUAAUACCGGAUAGUCCCGCAAGGGUAAAGAUUUAUCGGUUCGGGAGGGGCCUGUGGCCUAUCAGCUUGUUGGUAAGGUAAAAGCUUACCAAGGCUAUGACGGGUAGCUGAUCUGAGAGGGUGAUCAGCCAGAAUGGGACUGAGACACGGCCCAUACUCCUACGGGAGGCAGCAGUUGGGAAUCUUCCGCAAUGGGCGAAAGCCUGACGGAGCGACACCGCGUGAAGGAUGAAGCCCUUACGGGUGUAAACUUCUGUUCUGAGGGAAGAAAUUAUUGACGGUACCUCAGGAGAAAGCACCGGCUAAUUCUGUGCCAGCAGCCGCGGUAAGACAGAAGGUGCAAGCGUUACUCGGAAUUACUGGGCGUAAAGCGUCUGUAGGUGUUUUGUCAUGUCCGACCUUAAAUUUCGGGGCUCAACCCCGUGCCUGGGUUAGAAACGGGCAAAAUAGAGUCAUUCAGAGGCAUCUGGAAUGUCGUGUGUAGGGGUAAAAUCCGUAGAUACACGAUGGAACGCCAAAAGCGAAGGCAGGAUGCUGGGAAUGUACUGACACUCAGAGACGAAAGCGUGGGGAGCAAAGGGGAUUAGAUACCCCCGUAGUCCACGCCCUAAACGAUGCGUGCUCGGUGUGGGAACUUCAAUCUGUUCCCGUGCCCCAGCUAACCGGUAAGCACGCCGCCUGGGAACUACGGCCGCAAGGCUAAAACUCAAAGGAAUAGACGGGGACCCACACAAGCGGUGGAGCAUGGGGUUUAAUUCGAUGAUAAGCGAAGCACCUCACCCAGACUUGACAUGGUAGGAAUCCGACCGAAAGGACGGAGUGCCGCAAGGAGCCUACACACAGGCGCUGCACGGUCGUCGUCAGCUCGUGCCUUGAGGUGUACUGUUAAGUCAGCAAACGAGCGCAACCCUGAUCCUAUGUUGUUUUUUCAUAGGAGACUGCCGCCUCCAAGGCGGAGGAAGGUCAGGAUGACGUCAGAUCAGCGUGGCCCUUAUGUCUGGGGCAACACCCGUGCUACAAUGGUCGGUACAAACGGCAGCAAACCCGCGAGGGGGAGCAAAUCCGAGAAAACCGAUCUCAGUCCGGAUUGAAGUCUGCAACUCGACUUCAUGAAGUUGGAAUCGCUAGUAACCGUGAAUCAGCUACGUCACGGUGAAUAUGUUCCUGGGUCUUGUACUCGCCGCCCGUCAACUCAUGGAAGGCAGGGGCGCCCGAAGCACCUUUACUCGCAAGAGGAGGUACCACGGUGAAACUGCUGACUGGGAGUAAGUCGUAACAAGGUA